CAGCCGCCACGGGAAAACGUAGGUGGCGAGCGUUGUCCGGAUUUAUUGGGCGUAAAGGGAGUGUAGGCGGUCUUUUAAGUCUGAUGUGAAAGCCCACGGCUCAACCGUGGAGGGUCAUUGGAAACUGUUAAACUUGAGUGCAGGAGAGAAAAGUGGAAUUCCUAGUGUAGCGGUGAAAUGCGUAGAGAUUAGGAGGAACACCAGUGGCGAAGGCGGCUUUUUGGCCUGUAACUGACACUGAGGCGCGAAAGCGUGGGGAGCAAACAGGAUUAGAUACCCCGGUAGUCCCUGUCUCUUAUAC
rnacentral:rRNA from 1 species